rnacentral:lncRNA from 1 species
AUGGCACCGAAGGUGAAGGAGGAAGCCCCUGCCCCUCCUAAAGCUGAAGCCAAAGCAAAGGCUUUGAAGGUCAAGAAAGCAGCGUUGAAAGGUGUCCACAGCAAAAAAAAGAAGAUCCGGAAGUUGCCCACCUUCCAGCGGCCCAAAACACUGCAGUUCGGGAGGCAGCCCAAAUAUCCCUGGAGGAGCGCCCCAGGAGAGACAAAGCUGACCACCAUGCCAUCAUCAAACUCCCCUCACCACCGGGUCAGCCACGGAGAAAUUAAAAGACAACAACACCCUGGUAUCCACUGUGGAUGUCAAGGCCAACAAGCACCAGGUUAAACAGGCUGUGGAGAAGCUCUGUGACACUGACGUGGCUGAGGUCAACACUCUGCUCAGGCCUGAUGGCGAGAAGAAGGCGUACGUUCGACUGGCUCCUGACUGUGAUGCUUUGGAUGUUGCCAACAGAAUUGGCAUCAUCUAA